rnacentral:rRNA from 1 species
AGUCGAGCGAUGGAUUGAGAGCUUGCUCUCAAGAAGUUAGCGGCGGACGGGUGAGUAACACGUGGGUAACCUGCCCAUAAGACUGGGAUAACUCCGGGAAACCGGGGCUAAUACCGGAUAACAUUUUGAACUGCAUGGUUCGAAAUUGAAAGGCGGCUUCGGCUGUCACUUAUGGAUGGACCCGCGUCGCAUUAGCUAGUUGGUGAGGUAACGGCUCACCAAGGCAACGAUGCGUAGCCGACCUGAAAGGGUGAUCGGCCACACUGGGACUGAGACACGGCCCAGACUCCUACGGGAGGCAGCAGUAGGGAAUCUUCCGCAAUGGACGAAAGUCUGACGGAGCAACGCCGCGUGAGUGAUGAAGGCUUUCGGGUCGUAAAACUCUGUUGUUAGGGAAGAACAAGUGCUAGUUGAAUAAGCUGGCACCUUGACGGUACCUAACCAGAAAGCCACGGCUAACUACGUGCCAGCAGCCGCGGUAAUACGUAUGUGGCAAGCGUUAUCCGGAAUUAUUGGGGCGUAAAGCGCGCGCAGGUGGUUUCUUAAGUCUGAUGUGAAAGCCCACGGCUCAACCGGGGAAGGGUCAUUGGAAACUGGGAGACUUGAGUGCAGAAGAGGAAAGUGGAAUUCCAUGUGUAGCGGUGAAAUGCGUAGAGAUAUGGAGGAACACCAGUGGCGAA